GAUGACUCCCCGUCGUAUUGAUUUAUAAAAGAAGGCCUCUUUGUUCAGUUUAUCCCAAGGUCAACAAUUGUUGGAUUAUUGACUCUCUGACCCCCCCGCCUCCAGCCUUUGUUGGAUUGAAGAAUCUGAAACACUAUUCAUAAGCACAAAUACUUUGGACCAACCACGGUGGUCUCUCUGUCUUAGGUUUGGCUAUGUCAAAGUUUUAACCUCCUCCUGGCCAAAUUCCUGCUUUUCCUAUGAAUUUUCAUUUAACUGGGUAAAUGGCAAAAAAAAAAAAAAGUUUUUACUUGGUUUAUUAGUUUGCAAGGGCUACCAUAACAACGUAGCACAGACAAGGUUGUUUAAACCACAGAAGUUUAUUUUCUCCCAACUCUGGAAACAUGAAGUCCAGGGUUAAGAGGUCAGCAGGGUUGGUUUCCUCUGAGGCCUCUCUCCUUGGCAUGUAAAUGGCAUCUUCUCCUGUGUCUGCGUUCUGAUCUCUUCUUCCAAGGACAGUAGUCACACUGGGGUAGGGCCCACGCUAGGAUUUCACUCAAACUUAAUCACCUCUUUAAAAUCCCUGUCUCCAGAGUUCCAGUCGCGGCUCAGCAGUAAUAAACCCGACUAGCAUCCAUGAGGAUUCAGUUUGAUCCCUGGCCUCGCUCAGUGUGUUAAGAAUCGGGGNUUCAGGAGUUCCCGUCGUGGCGCAAAGGUUAACGAAUCCAACUAGGAACCAUGAGGUGGUGGGUUCGAUCCCUGGCCUUGCUCAGUGGGUUAAGGAUCCGGCAUUGCCGUGAGCUGUGGUGUAGGUCGCAGAUGCAGCUUGGAUCCCACGUUGCUGUGGCUCUGGCGUAGGCUGGCGGCUACAGUUUCGAUUCGACCCCUAGCCUGGGAACCUCCAUAUGCCGCGGGAGCGGCCCAAGAAAUGGCAAAAAGACAAAAAAAAAAAAAGAAUCGGGGGUUGCCAUGAGCUGUGGUGUAGGUUGCAGAUGCAGCUCGGAUCCUGCAUUGAUGUGACUGUGACACAGGCCGGCAGCUGUAGCUCUGAUUCAACCUCUAGCCUGGGUACUUCCCUAAUGCCACAGGUGUGCCCUGAAAUAAUAAUAACAAUAAUAAUAAUAAAUUUAAAAAAUCGAAUCACAUCAAAUCCCUGUCUCCAAAUACAAUCCCACUUUGAGGUACUAGGAGUCAGGACUUCAACAGAUGAAUGUUAGAAUGACACCAUUCAGCCCAUCUCACUUGGAAUAAUGGAUCAUUUGAAGGAAGUUUUGACAUGUCGAAGUUAGGAAAGUAAUAUGUUUAAGAAAAUGAAGAGAAAAAGUAUUAAAAAUUCAGGAGUCAGGAACUUUGGGAACAGAGGGUGCCUAGGCUGAUGGUGGCGAUCAUUUCACAACAUGCGUGUGCACGUGUCGUGCGCCUGAAACUUACUUCAUAUUGUACGUCAGCUACAUUUCAACUUGAAAAAUUCAGUAAUCAGCUUCUUUGAUGGAUAUGCUAAGACUGCAAAGCAAAACACUGACUCCAAAAGAGACUGUCUUAAAGACUCUUAUUUCACUCCUGUCCAAACUUUCAGAAUUCUCGCCUCUUUGCACGGCUCUCUCUACGUUAUUGUCACCACCCACUUAUGUCCCUUUCCUCCUUCCGCUCUUUCUCCUGACUUUCUAAGUGGGCUCAUUUCAGGAAAAGCACAGUAACAUUGGAAAUUAUCCCCUUAAAACUGCUAUACCCGAAGGUGUGUCGAGAGAAGCUGAAAUUUAACCAGGGUCUAGUGCUAAAUGGAGGACUAUAAUUAUAGUAUUUUGGUAAGCCUCGGGAAGAAAGAAAUUUGCUGUAGAAUACAGGAUUUUGCUAGACUGAU
rnacentral:lncRNA from 1 species